rnacentral:rRNA from 1 species
AGUGAACGCUGGCGGUAGGCCUAACACAUGCAAGUCGAACGGCAGCACAGGAGAGCUUGCUCUCUGGGUGGCGAGUGGCGGACGGGUGAGGAAUACAUCGGAAUCUACUCUGUCGUGGGGGAGAACGUAGGGAAACUUACGCUAAUACCGUAUACGACCUACGGGUGAAAGCAGGGGAUCUUCGGACCUUGCGCGAUUGAAUGAGCCGAUGUCGGAUUAGCUAGUUGGCGGGGUAAAGGCCCACCAAGGCGACGAUCCGUAGCUGGUCUGAGAGGAUGUUCAGCCGCACUGGAACUGAGGCACGGUCCAGAAUCCUACGGGAGGCAGCAGAGGGGAAUAUUGGACAAUGGGCGCAAGCCUGAUCCAGCCAUACCGCGUGGGUGAAGAAGGCCUUCGGGUUGUAAAGCCCUUUUGUUGGGAAAGAAAUCCAGCUGGCUAAUACCCGGUUGGGAUGACGGUACCCAAAGAAUAAGCACCGGCUAACUUCGUGCCAGCAGCCGCCGUAA